rnacentral:lncRNA from 1 species
AACGAUGAAGGUGGUUAGCAAAGCGGCGAGUGCAGCGUGGCGCAUCAUCGGAGAAACAUGAACAACAUCGGAGAGAUUUUUUGUGUGGUGUUUUAUGCGUGGUUGCUGCAAUUGUUGAUGGCGGUUGCCGGAGUCACGGUGUUGAGUUGAAUAAUUUCGUUGAUGUUUGUUCACGGUUGAAGUGGAAGUUUUCUAGAAGGUUUACCGAAAUUCACGGCGGUGAGGUUGUUGUUGUUGUUGUUUAGAUCGUACAGUGCAUGGAGAGGAGGGUAGCAUUCUUGUGUGGCUCAUGUAACUCCCCGUGAAUCUGUGACAGUUUGACGGUCAUAAAGAGUUUCAAAAGGUGAUGAGAAGCUUUUGUUGAAAUCUGUUUGUGAUGGUUAAAGAAAUUGAUGAAUUUGUUGUUAAUUUAUUGUGGUGUUGUUUGGAGAAGAUGGAUAUUAUGUUAGGUUGUAAAUGAUGUUAGCUUGUAGGUGAUG